rnacentral:rRNA from 1 species
UACGUAGGGGGCAAGCGUUAUUCGGAAUUAUUGGGCGUAAAGGGCAUGUAGGCGGUUUUGCAAGUCUGGUGUGAAAUCCCUGAGCUUAACUCAGGAACUGCGUUGGAAACUGUAAGACUUGAGUCACUGAGGGGCAGGCAGAAUUCCAGGUGUAGGGGUGAAAUCUGUAGAUAUCUGGAAGAAUACCAAUGGCGAAGGCAGCCUGCCAGCAGAUGACUGACGCUGAGGUGCGAAGGUGCGGGGAGCAAAC